AUUGGAAUAGCUGGGUCAAAUGGUGGAUCCAUUCCCAGUUUUACAAGGAUUUUCUAUACUGUUUUCCAGAUCGGUUGCACUAAUUUGCAGUCCCACCAGCAAU
rnacentral:pre_miRNA from 1 species